GAGGAAGAAAUACUUGCCAUUUUUUUUCCAGACGCUGACUUGAAAGGGUCUUCCAAGUUGAUUGGUGUCGAUCUACAUUUUUAGCCAUUAAAUGUAAUUGGCAAUCUGGCAUAUAAUUUCACUUGGCCAAAAUGUGAUGACGUGGGUCGAAACUGCUGUCCAUUUUGUCGAAAUGUCGGCCAUUGUUAGCUCGUCAAUGUGACAACUACAAAUUCCUUUGUAAGAUUUAUCAAGCCAGGUGAAGUCUGCGCUUCUUUGUUGCAGUCUAAUGUGCGCAUGGAUUCCUUGCAGUCAUCCAGUGAAAGGUGUGAUUAAAUUGAGCUGUUGCAUGCAGUCUUUGGUACUGAUGUUGUCCUGGAGUGUGGGAGA